rnacentral:rRNA from 1 species
AUGCACGCUGGCGGCGUGCCUAAUACAUGCCAGUCGAGCGAACAGACGAGGAGCUUGCUCCUCUGACGUUAGCGGCGGCCGGGUGAGUAACCCGUGGAUAACCUACCUAUAAGACUGGGAUAACUUCGGGAAACCGGAGCUAAUACCGGAUAAUAUAUUUAACCGCAUGGUUCAAUAGUGAAAGACGGUUUUGCUGUCACUUAUAGAUGGAUCCGCGCCGCAUUAGCUAGUUGGUAAGGUAACGGCUUACCAAGGCAACGAUGCGUAGCCGACCUGAGAGGGUGAUCGGCCACACUGGAACGGAGACACGGUCCAGACUCCUACGGGAGGCAGCAGUAGGGAAUCUUCCGCAAUGGGCGAAAGCCUGACGGAGCAACGCCGCGUGAGUGAUGAAGGUCUUCGGAGCGUAAAACUCUGUUAUUAGGGAAGAACAAAUGUGUAAGUAACUAUGCACGGCUUGACGGUACCUAAUCAGAAAGCCACGGCUAACUACGUG